rnacentral:rRNA from 1 species
GGCGACGAUGCCUAGGGGUUCUGAGAGGAAGGUCCCCCACACUGGUACUGAGACACGGACCAGACUCCUACGGGAGGCAGCAGUGAGGAAUAUUGGUCAAUGGGCGAGAGCCUGAACCAGCCAAGUCGCGUGAGGGACGACGGCCCUACGGGUUGUAAACCUCUUUUGCCGGGGGACAAACGGCGGCACGCGUGCCGUCCUGAGGGUACCCGGAGAAAAAGCAUCGGCUAACUCCGUGCCAGCAGCCGCGGUAAUACGGAGGAUGCGAGCGUUAUCCGGAUUUAUUGGGUUUAAAGGGUGCGUAGGCGGGAUGCCAAGUCAGCGGUCAAAUACGGGGGCUCAACCUGCGUCCGCCGUUGAAACUGGCGUUCUUGAGUGGGCGAGAAGUACGCGGAAUGCGUGGUGUAGCGGUGAAAUGCAUAGAUAUCACGCAGAACCCCGAUUGCGAAGGCAGCGUACCGGCGCCCAACUGACGCUGAAGCACGAAAGCGUGGGUAUCGAACAGGAUUAGAUACCCUGGUAGUCCACGCAGUAAACGAUGAACACUAAUUGUCCGG